rnacentral:rRNA from 1 species
GAUGAACGCUGGCGGCGUGCCUAAUACAUGCAAGUCGAGCGAACAGACGAGGAGCUUGCUCCUUUGACGUUAGCGGCGGACGGGUGAGUAACACGUAGGUAACCUACCUAUAAGACUGGGAUAACUUCGGGAAACCGGAGCUAAUACCGGAUAAUAUUUCGAACCGCAUGGUUCGAUAGUGAAAGAUGGCUUUGCUAUCACUUAUAGAUGGACCUGCGCCGUAUUAGCUAGUUGGUAAGGUAAUGGCUUACCAAGGCAACGAUACGUAACCGACCUGAGAGGGGGAUCGGGCACACUUGAACUGAGACACGGGCCAAACUCCUACGGGAGGCAGCAGUAGGGAAUCUUCCGGAAUGGGGGAAAGCCUGAACGAACAACGCCGGGGGGGGUAUGAAGGUCUUCGGAUCGGAAAACCCUUUUAUUAGGGAAAAAAAAAAGGGUAAGUAACUUUGCACGUUUUGACGGUACCUAAUCAGAAAGCCCCGGCUAACUACGU